rnacentral:rRNA from 1 species
UACGAGGGGUCCUAGCGUUGUUCGGAAUCAUUGGGCGUAAAGGGUGCGUAGGCGGCCAUUCAAGUCAGUUGUGAAAGCCCCGAGCUUAACUUGGGAAUUGCGCUUGUGACUGGCGUGCUGGAGUGUGGCAGAGGGAGGUGGAAUUCCACGUGUAGCAGUGAAAUGCGUAGAGAUGUGGAGGAACACCGAUGGCGAAGGCAGCCUCCUGGGCCAGCACUGACGCUCAUGCACGAAAGCGUGGGGAGCAAACAGG